rnacentral:rRNA from 1 species
ACAGAGGGUGCAAGCGUUAAUCGGAUUUACUGGGCGUAAAGCGUACGUAGGUGGUCUUUUAAGUCGGAUGUGAAAUCCCUGAGCUUAACUUAGGAAUUGCAUUCGAUACUGGGAGACUAGAGUAUGGGAGAGGAUGGUAGAAUUCCAGGUGUAGCGGUGAAAUGCGUAGAGAUCUGGAGGAAUACCGAUGGCGAAGGCAGCCAUCUGGCCUAAUACUGACACUGAGGUACGAAAGCAUGGGGAGCAAACAG